UAUGAAGUUGGAAUCGCUAGUAAUCGCGGAUCAGCAUGCCGCGGUGAAUACGUUCCCGGGCCUUGUACACACCGCCCGUCACACCAUGAGAGUCGGGAACACCCGAAGUCCGUAGCCUAACCGCAAGGGGGGCGCGGCCGAAGGUGGGUUCGAUAAUUGGGGUGAAGUCGUAACAAGGUAAC
rnacentral:rRNA from 1 species